rnacentral:rRNA from 1 species
AAAUCGUUCGACGAGGAUCUACUGGAGGGCAAGUCUGGUGCCAGCAGCCGCGGUAAUUCCAGCUCCAAUAGCGUAUAUUAAAGUUGUUGCAGUUAAAAAGCUCGUAGUUGGAUCUGGGGUUCGGGUCGGCGGUUUGCCGCUUCGGCGGCUACUGCCGUGCUCGACUCUUACUAGCCGGUGCGUCUUGCGGUGCUCUUCAUCGAGUGCCGUAGGAGCCUGGCAUGUUUACUUUGAAAAAAUUAGAGUGCUCAAAGCAGGCGAUUCCGCCUGAAUAGUGUUGCAUGGAAUAAUGGAAUAGGACCUCGGUUCUAUUUUGUUGGUUUUCGGAACUUGAGGUAAUGAUUAAGAGGGACGGUCGGGGGCAUUCGUAUUUCGGUGUUAGAGGUGAAAUUCUUGGAUCGCUGAAAGACGGACAAAUGCGAAAGCAUCUGCCAAGAACGUCUCCAUUAAUCAAGAACGAAAGUCAGAGGUUCGAAGACGAUCAGACACCGUCCUAGUUCUGACCAUAAACGAUGCCAACUAGCGAUCCGCAGUGGUUGCUAUAAACGGACUCUGCGAGCAGCUUCCGGGAAACCAAAGUGUUUGGGUUCCGGGGGAAGUAUGGUUGCAAAGCUGAAACUUAAAGGAAUUGACGGAAGGGCACCACCAGGAGUGGAGCCUGCGGCUUAAUUUGACCCAACACGGGGAAACUCACCCGGUCCGGACACUGUAAGGAUUGACAGAUCGAGAGCUCUUUCUUGAUUCGGUGGAUGGUGGUGCAUGGCCGUUCCUAGUUGGUGGAGUGAUUUGUCUGGUUAAUUCCGAUAACGAACGAGACUCUAGCCUGCUAACUAGUUGCGCCGUGUUCAUACGCGGCUGUAGACUUCUUAGAGGGACAGGUGGCGUUUAGCCACACGAAAUUGAGCAAUAACAGGUCUGUGAUGCCCUUGGAUGUCCGGGGCCGCACGCGCGCUACACUGAAGGAGUCAGCGUGUGCUAUCCGGGCUCGGAAGAGUUCGGUAACCCGUUGAAACUCCUUCGUGCUUGGGAUUGUGGCUUGUAAUUAUCGCGCAUGAACGAGGAAUUCCCAGUAAGUGCAAGUCAUCAGCUUGCGCUGACUACGUCCCUGCCCUUUGUACACACCGCCCGUCGCUACUACCGAUUGAAUGGUUUAGCAAGGUACUCGGAUUGGUCUCGAUCUUGUACGAAAGUGCGGGAUCUGUGGCCGAGAAGAAGGCCAAACUUGAUCAUUUAGAGGAAGUAAA